rnacentral:tRNA from 1 species
GGAGACGUGGCCGAGUGGUUUAAGGCACCGGUCUUGAAAACCGGUGGGCGUCUAAAACGCGCCCCGAGGGUUCGAAUCCCUCACUCUCCG